rnacentral:rRNA from 1 species
AUUGAACGCUGGCGGCAGGCUUAACACAUGCAAGUCGAACGAGUGGCGGACGGGUGAGUAAUGUUUGGGAAUCUGGCUCAUGGAGGGGGAUAACGACGGGAAACUGCCGCUAAUACCGCGUACCAUAGGAUGAGCCCAAGUGUGAUGAGGUAGUUGGUGGGGUAAGGGCCUACCAAGCCGACGAUGUCCAGCUGGUCUGAGAAGAUGACCAGCCACGCCGGGACUGAGACACGGCCCAGAUUCCUACGUGAGGCAGCAGUGGGGAAUAUUACGCAAGGGGGGCAACCUAGCGCAGCCAUGCGGCGUGAAUGAAGAAGGCCUUCGGGUUGUAGAGAUCUUUCGGUGACGAAGCGUUAAUCACGGAAGAAGCACCGGCUAACGCCGUGCCAGCAGCCGCGGUAAUAC